rnacentral:rRNA from 1 species
CCCUUAGAUGUUCUGGGCCGCACGCGCGCUACACUGACGAAUGCAACGAGCUUAUAACCUUGGCCGAAAGGUCUGGGUAAUCUCCAAAUUUCGUCGUGAUGGGGAUAGAUUAUUGCAAUUAUUAAUCUUCAACGAGGAAUGCCUAGUAAGCGCAAGUCAUCAGCUUGCGUUGAUUACGUCCCUGCCCUUUGUACACACCGCCCGUCGCUCCUACCGAUUGAAUGGUCCGGUGAAGCGCUCGGACCGCGGCCUCUUGACGGUUUUCCGUCGAUUGGCUGUGGGAAGUUCGUUAAACCUUAUCAUUUANAGGAAGGAGAAGUCGUAACA